rnacentral:misc_RNA from 1 species
GGAAGAGUGGUGCUCCAAGUAGUAACAUUAAGAUAAGCUUAUACUUGAUCAACAUGAAAAUGUAUUUAACCAACCUAAGAUUAAUCCUAUGAGAUCUGAUCUUCUAUGCAUUCACAGAACUAUAAAUCACCUUGUAACUUGCACCGAUUGUCCAGCCAUGCGGCAGAUAAGUCUGCACCAUCUCUGAAGGUGGCAUGCUUGUCAUGGCUGUUAGUAAAGAAGGCUGUUUUGACACAUAAAACCUGAUAACUAGUGACAUAUCCAAAGGAGAUACUAAUUGUGAUCCUCAGAAAUUGUAGGUGAUACAUCCGUUGUUCUCUUU